rnacentral:rRNA from 1 species
AUUGAACGCUGGCGGCAUGCUUUACACAUGCAAGUCGAACGGCAGCACGGGUGCUUGCACCUGGUGGCGAGUGGCGAACGGGUGAGUAAUGCAUCGGAACGUGCCCAUGAGUGGGGGAUAGCCCGGCGAAAGCCGGAUUAAUACCGCAUACGCCCUUAGGGGGAAAGCGGGGGAGUCUUCGGACCUCGCGCUAUUGGAGCGGCCGAUGUCGGAUUAGCUAGUAGGUGAGGUAAAGGCUCACCUAGGCGACGAUCCGUAGCUGAUCUGAGAGGAUGAUCAGCCACACUGGGACUGAGACACGGCCCAGACUCCUACGGGAGGCAGCAGUGGGGAAUUUUGGACAAUGGGCGCAAGCCUGAUCCAGCCAUGCCGCGUGAGUGAAG